GAUGAACGCUGGCGGCGUGCCUAACACAUGCAAGUCGAACGAAAAGACGAUGAGCUUUUGCUCCUAACGUUAGCGGGGGACGGGUGAGUAACACAUAGAUAACAAUCUACUAAGACUUGGAUGAUUACGGGAAAACGGAGAUAAUACUAGAUAAUAUAUUGAACGGCAUGGUUCAAUAGUGAUUGACGGUUUUCCUGUUAGUUAUAGCUGGAUCCGCGGUGCAUUAUCUAGUGGGUAAGGUAACGGCUUACCAAGGCGACGAUGCGUAGCUGAGCUGAGAGGGUGAUCCGCCACACUGGAACUGAGACACGGUCCAGACUCCUACGGGAGGCAGCAGUGGGGAAUCUUCCACAAUGGGCGAAAGCCUGACGGAGCAAAUCCGCGUGGGUGAUGAAGGCCUUCGGCUCGUAAAGCUCUCUUUUUAGGGAAGAACACCAGUGGAAUUAAACAUCGACGUGUUGACGGUACCCAAUUAAUAAGCACCGGCUAACUUCGUG
rnacentral:rRNA from 1 species